AUUGAACGCUGGCGGCAUGCCUUACACAUGCAAGUCGAACGGCAGCACGGGGGCAACCCUGGUGGCGAGUGGCGAACGGGUGAGUAAUACAUCGGAACGUGCCCAGUAGUGGGGGAUAGCCCGGCGGAAGCCGGAUUAAUACCGCAUACGACCUAUGGGUGAAAGCGGGGGAUCGCAAGACCUCGCGCUACCGGAGCGGCCGAUGUCAGAUUAGGUUGUUGGUGGGGUAAAAGCCUACCAAGCCGACGAUCUGUAGCUGGUCUGAGAGGACGACCAGCCACACUGGGACUGAGACACGGCCCAGACUCCUACGGGAGGCAGCAGUGGGGAAUUUUGGACAAUGGGCGCAAGCCUGAUCCAGCCAUGCCGCGUGCGGGAAGAAGGCCUUCUGGUUGUAAACCGCUUUUGUCGGGGAAGAAACGCUCCGGGCCAAUACCCCCAGAGUAAUGACGGUA
rnacentral:rRNA from 1 species